rnacentral:misc_RNA from 1 species
GGGAUCCGGACAAAAUCGAUGAAACGGAAGAAAUCCGAGUGAAUGGAAAGGACAAAAUAAAGGAUAAAUUCCACUCUCACCUUACAGAGACAGGCUAUAACAAUAUUAAUACUAGUAAUAGUCCAAUUUAUGAUUAUCAGGAUUCUUAUCUGAAUAAUAAUAACACGGGGAAUCUAGAAAAUUGUAAAUUGCAACUGCUUGAUAAAAAAAAUGAAAAUCAAGAACAAGACCUCUUCUGGUUUCAAAAACCUCUUGUGAGUCUUCUUUUCGAUUAUAAUCGAUGGAAUCGACCAUUUCGUUACAUAAAGAAUAAUCGAUUUGAGCAGGCCGUAAGAACAGAAAUGUCACAAUAUUUUUUUGACACAUGUAAAAGUGAUGGAAAACAAAAAAUAUCUUUUACAUACCCGCCAAGUUUAUCAACUUUUUGGAAAAUGAUAAAAAGAAAGAUACCCCUAUUGUCACUCCAAAAAACGCUCCCUAAUGAACUGGACACUCAGUGGGUUUCUACCAACAAAGAAAAAAGUAAUAAUCUAAAUAAGGAAUUUUUAAAUCGACUUGAAAUUCUAGACAAGGAAUCUCUUUCUCUGGAUAUACUCGAAACAAGGACUAGAUUUUGUAAUGAUGAUACUAAAAAAGAAUACGUGCCUAAAAUGUAUGAUCCUUUGUUAAAUGGACUAUAUCGAGGAACAAUAAAAAAGGGGGUUUCAUCUUCAAUCAUAAACAAUACUUUGCUAGAAAAUUGGGAAAAGAGAGUUAGACUAAAUAGGAUUCAUACUAUCUUUCUUCCGAAUAUUGAUUACCAAGAAUUUGAACAAA